rnacentral:rRNA from 1 species
UACGUAGGGUGCGAGCGUUGUCCGGAAUUAUUGGGUGUAAAGGGUUCGUAGGCGGUUUGUCGCGUCGGGAGUGAAAACCCAGGGCUUAACCCUGGGCUGGCUUCCGAUACGGGCAGACUAGAGGUAUGCAGGGGAGAACGGAAUUCCUGGUGUAGCGGUGAAAUGCACAGAUAUCAGGAGGAACACCGGUGGCGAAGGCGGUUCUCUGGGCAUUACUUGACGCUGAGGAGGGAAAGUGUGGGGAGCGAACAGG